rnacentral:rRNA from 1 species
GAUGAACGUUGGCGGCGUGGAUUAGGCAUGCAAGUCGAGCGAGAACCCAGCAAUGGGGGACAGCGGCGUAAGGGACAGUAAUGUGUAGAUUAUCUGCCCUCGGGACCGGGAUAGCUGCGGGAAACUGCAGGUAAUACCGGAUAACAUCUCCGGAUCAAAGGUGUGAUUCCGCCCGAGGAUGAGUCUGCAUCCUAUUAGCUAGUUGGCAGGGUAAUGGCCUACCAAGGCUUUGAUGGGUAGCGGGUGUGAGAGCACGAACCGCGUCAUUGGGACUGAGACACUGCCCAGACACCUACGGGUGGCUGCAGUCGAGAAUCUUCGGCAAUGGGCGCAAGCCUGACCGAGCGACGCCGCGUGUGGGAUGAAGGCCUUCGGGUUGUAAACCACUGUUAGAGGGGAUGAAAUGCAGGUGGGUUCUCCCAUCUGUUUGACAUAGCCUCAGAGGAAGGACGGGCUAAGUUCGUGCCAGCCGCCGCUGUAAAAC